CUCCUGCCUCAGCCUCCCAAGUAGCUGGGACUAUAGGUGCAUGCCACCACGCCCGGCUAAUUUUUAUAUCUUUAGUAGAGAUGGGUUUUCCUCAAGUUGGCCCAGCUGGUCUUGAACUCCUGAACUCAGGGGAUCCACCCGCCUCAGCCUCCCAAAGUGCUGGGAUUACAGGCAUGAGCCAUCAUGCCCGGCCCAUUAUUGCCUUUUUAAAAUUUAGGUUUUUGUUUUGUUUUGUUUUGUUUGUGCAUCAUUUUGAUUCCCUCCUUUCCUGUUUUGUGUAUUUUUAAAUUUACUUAGUGGUUACUUUGGGGUUUACAAUUAACACCUUAAACUUAUAAAGACCUAGUUUGAAUAAUACCAAUUUAAGUUUUUUGUUUUUGUUUUCAGGACUGACAAUAUGUUAG
rnacentral:lncRNA from 1 species